GCCUCUUGAAUCUCAUAAGAGGUCCAGCCUGCCCAGUGACACAAUUAAACGGCCGCGGUACCCUGACCGUGCGAAGGUAGCAUAAUCACUUGUUCUCUAAAUAAGGACUUGUAUCAACGGCAUCACGAGGGUUAUACUGUCUCCUCUUUUUAAUCAGUGAAACUGACUUUCCCGUGAAGAGGCGGGAAUAGAAAUACAAGACGAGAAGACCCCAUGGAGCUUUAAACCCAAUAGUAACCUCUAUUUACUACUACUACUUAAUCAAGAAGGUCUACCUACUGGUUUUAGGUUGGGGUGACCCUGGAGUAAAACUAAGCCUCCAUGACGAAUAGAAUUAUUCUAAUCCCAGAGCCACUGCUCUACGAAUCAAAAUUUUGACGUAAACUGAUCCGCCUAGCGAUCAACGAACCAAGUUACCCUGGGGAUAACAGCGCAAUCCAUUUCAAGAGCCCCUAUCGACAAAUGGGUUUACGACCUCGAUGUUGGAUCAGGGUAUCCAGUGGUGCAGCCCUACUAAGGUUUGUU
rnacentral:rRNA from 1 species